GAUGAACGCUGGCGGCGUGCCUAAUACAUGCAAGUCGAGCGAACAGACGAGGAGCUUGCGCCUCUGACGUUAGAGGCGGACGGGUGAGUAACACGUGGAUAACCUACCUAUAAGACUGGGAUAACUUCGGGAAACCGGAGCUAAUACCGGAUAAUAUAUUGACCUGCAUGGUUCAAUAGUUAAAGUCGGUUUUGCUGUCACUUAUAGCUGGAUCCGCGCCGCAUUCACUAGUUGGUAAGGUAACGGCUUACCAAGGCAACGAUGCGUAGCCGACCUGAGAGCGUCGUCGGCUACCCUGGCUCUGAGACACGUUCCAGACUCCGACGGGGAGCCGCAGUACGGAAUCCUCCGCAAUGGGGCAGUGCCUGACGUUGCAACGUCGGGUGAAGCAUGAAGGUCUUCUGAUCGUAAAACGCUGUUAUUAGGAAAGUACAAAAGUGUAAUUACCUAUGCUCAUCUUGACGGUACCUAAUCAAUAAGCCCCGGCUAACUACGUG
rnacentral:rRNA from 1 species